rnacentral:rRNA from 1 species
UUGUCGAUACCUGUAAACAGAACGACCYGAGAACGAUGAAUCAUCACUCUCGGUGGGCCGGUUUCUUUGCUGAUCCCGUGCCUGCCGAUUCCGUGGUUAUGCGCAUUGUCCAGUCAGGAUUUUUAAUCUAGGCUGGAUAGUGUGCAUAGCUUCCGGAUAUCACAAAACCCCGGCACGAAAAGUGUCAAGGAACAUACAACUAAACAGCCUGCGUUCGCUAACCCGGAGACGGUGUUUACGCGKACGUUGUGCUGCAAUAUAAAGUCUAAAACGACUCUCGGCAACGGAUAUCUCGGCUCUCGCAUCGAUGAAGAACGUAGCGAAAUGCGAUACUUGGUGUGAAUUGCAGAAUCCCGUGAACCAUCGAGUCUUUGAACGCAAGUUGCGCCCCAAGCCUUCUGGCCGAGGGCACGUCUGCCUGGGUGUCACAAAUCGUCGUCCCCCCAUCCUCUCGAGGAUAUGGGACGGAAGCUGGUCUCCCGUGUGUUACCGCACGCGGUUGGCCAAAAUCCGAGCUAAGGACGCAAGGAGCGUCUCGACAUGCGGUGGUGAAUUCAAGCCUCGUCAUAUCGUCGGUCGCUCCGGUCCGGAAGCUCUCGAUGACCCAAAGUCCUCAACGCGACCCCAGGUCAGGCGGGAUCACCCGCUGAGUUUAAG